GCGGCCAGGGGCAGGCAUUGCUCCUCCGUGGUCCGCGCCCCUCGGUAGCCAGCGGUUCUCAGAAGGGGAGGAGGCGCCGCGGAGGAAGAGGGCUAUUUGCAGAGGAAAGAUCAAGGCCCGCCGAUCCCCCCUCGCUUCCCUAAGGUCUUCGGUUGAUAAUUUAUCCUGGUCCCUCAGCUCCGAGGAACUUUGCUCCAGGGCUCUGGGCCAGGACCCUGGUUCGCGCCCUCCGGAGGGGCGCAGGGCGUGGAGCAGAAGUCCUGGGGAGCGGCCGGCAGGGACCCCAGGCCACGGGAGGCGCUCAGACUGGUGCGGGGAAGCCCAGGCCUCCCCCAGCACCCGACCCGCGCGCCUCCUGCGGGACCUCGGCGUGCACAGCCUCUCUGGCCCGCCUGGGGCAGGCGCUCUCCUCCCGCCACCCGUGACCUAGCAGGUCAAGAAGGAGGGGUCCGGGCGCUGGGGACGCGAUGGACGAGAGACUGGGUCGGCGUCGGACAUAGGGGCUGUGCACUGCGGCCACCACGGGCGCCACUCGGGGUAUCGACAGGUGCCCAAAUGGUGGUCCCAGGAGGAGGGCGGGCACCGGCGGGGGUGGCCCAAGCUUCUGGGAGCGCCAGCGAUGCCUGGCGUUUGUCUGGAGCGGGGAGAGGAGCGCGUCGUGGGCCUGCGGAGGUCGAGGCGGAAGGCAGCCUCAGCCCAGAUCACACCUCUGAAGGCUUCUGCACCGGGAAGAUAAGCCCCAUCUGUGUGAUUGGAAGCAAAACAACCUAAGGUGUGCAAGAAAUGUGGGGACAGGGGCCAGCACUGUGGCACAGUGGGUAAAGCCACCGCCUGCAGUGCUGGCAUCCCAUAUGGGCACCGGUUCAAGUCCCGGCUGCUCCUCUUCCGAUCCAGAUCUCUGCUAUGGCCUGGGAAAGCAGCAGAAGAUGGUCCAAGUGCUUGGGCCCCUUCACUUGCUUGGGAGACCUGGAAGAAGCUCUUGGCUCCGGAUCAACCCAGCUCCGGCUAUUGCAGCCAUUUGGGGAGUAUGGCUGGAAGAUGCCUCUCUUUCUCUCUCUGCUUCUGCCUCUUUGUAACUCUGCCUUUCAAACAAAUAAAUAAAUAUAAAAAAACAUAAAUGCGGGGAUGUGCACAAACCCUGACAUCUCCCAGCUGGUGCAGGGUGUCCUUGCCUGCAGGCAUGAGCAGGUCUGGCUAGGUUACCCACUUCCCAGAGUCGGUGGCCUCUCUACUAACAAGUCUUGAACGCAGUGCAUGGCUGUCCUGGCUGUCUCCUGCGACCCCAUCUGAUACCAGGCCCUCCCAGCCUCCUGGCCUUGGCUCUCAGAAUCCCAUCCACCUUUGAACUUUUCCAGGUUCCCGUCUGAGCGCCCACCCCACCCCCCUUGUCCAACGCAACUCUAAUUUUCUUCUGCUCCCAGUGAAUGGCGCACAUGCCUCUCUUUGCCACUAGAUGGCAGACUCCCAAAAGCAAGAAAUCACAUUUAUCUCUGCAUCCCCUUUCCCUUGAUAGUAAAAAUAUGCAAAUAAGAACAGUCAGGCCUCCUUAUCAGAGGGCUCUGCAUCCAUGCAUUCAAUCAAAAUUCGGAAAACAAUUGGCACAUGUACUGAACAUAAACCGACUUUUUUUUUUCUGCCUUCACUCCCUAAACAAUACAGUGUAACAACUGUUUGCUUCACAUUAGCUUGGUGUUGUGCAUUGUAAGUCAACUAAGAGAGGGUGUGCGCCAGGAGAUCGCAGCUUGAGGCAGUGCCCCAUGCCAGCAGAGAGUAACUCGUCACCCCCAUAUGAGCCGGAAGUAGCCCUAAAAGACAGAUCAUCGUCCCUCCACCCUCCUGGACUUUUGGGGCUGAUGUAAUCCGAUAGAACACUUGCUUUAUGAAAAACAAAAGGGGGGAAUGUUGGUUAAAUGGCAUGGUCUUAUCCGUGUCUCAAUCUACACCCUGGACACCCUCCUAGGCUCUGGCCCCUGCCGCCAUUGCUACAAGCCAGGUGACCAGAUGGCCCAACCACAGCUGACAUCAAGCCCCCGAGUAAGCCAGCAGCGAGGGCCGUAUUCAGAUGUUUGCAAGGUGACUCCUGCAUCCGGGCAGCCGAGCUGACAGACACUGCUUGUCAUUCGGAAAAAUGGGAGAAGCAUCCAAUGUAUGUUGAUACAUCCUUACGGCGGAACAUUAUGUAACUGUUAACAGAACCUCGUCUUUGAAAUGGAGCUAAUAACACUGUGAAUCUCCCCUGGUUUCUAAUGUGGGUUAAUUCAGUAAAUUAAUACCUACACAGUGCUUAGAUGCUAACUACUCAUCACCAUUACAGCGGUAAACAUAGAAGAAAGCAAGCUGUCGGCAAUAGGUGAGUGUGAUCUCAUUUGAGUAAGAAUUAACCAUAAUCCACAGAGGCAGAGAGAGAGAGAGAGAGAGAGAGUGAGCUCCCAUCUGCUGGUUGGUUCACUCCCCAAAUGCCCACAAUGGCUGGUACUGGACCAGGUCCGAGCCGGGAGCUAGCUGUCUACUACUCACAUCCUCAACCUGUGUGGUCAGGAAACCCCCCUGGGUUCCAGGGUACGAGGCCCGUCGGGGACCCAUGGAUGACUGGGAGCCAGCCAUUGCCCGCCCGGGGCCUCUGUGACCCGGGCACGUGCAGCCCAGCCUCACCGGCAUGCUGCGAGCAGACAGCAGGCAGAGUGUGCAUCAGAGCAGGGGACAGGCCCGAGCCUGGAGCAGGUGCAUCAGCCAGACAGAGUCUGUCCGCCAGGGCAUGCGAGUGCUGACGGCUGCUGUGUGCCGAGGAAGUUCCUUUUCCACAUAAUUAAUUUGUGGGAGAGGCAGUGAGACAGACAGACAGCGAGAGCGAGAGGGAGAGAGUGAGAGAGUGAGAGAGAGAGAGAGAGAGAGAGUGCCUACCCUCUGGUUCAUUCCCCCAAAUGCUUGCAAUGGCUGGGGCUGGGCCAGGCCAAAACCAGGAACCAGGAGCUCCAUCCGGGUCUCCCAUGUGGGUGGCAGGGACCCAGGGACUUGAGCCCUCACUGCUGCCUGCCCCCCAGGGUGUGCCUUGGCAGGAAGCGGGAGUCAGGGGCCAGGUACCAAACCCAGGCUCUGGGAUGUGUGCUGGGGGCAUCCUAGCAGCCCUCACACCAAACGCCUGGUUCACCCCACUUCCGGCACGGCAGGUGCCAGUGUCUUCUCUCAAUAUCGCUUGUCCAGCUCUGAUGCCAUCUGGGUCUCCAUCCAGGACUCCACAUGGGUGGCAGGGACCUGAGGACUUGAGCCAUUAUCUGCUGCCUCCCAGGGUGCCAUCAGGGAGCUGGGUCUGAAGCCAGGACCAGGCACUCCCCAGCACGAGUGUGCAAAAAUGGGAUGCGGUUGUCCCAAGUAGCAGCUUAACAGCUAUGCCGAAAGCCUGA